rnacentral:rRNA from 1 species
UGAGGAAUAUUGGACAAUGGGCGCAAGCCUGAUCCAGCAAUGCCGCGUGCAGGAUGAAGGCCUUCGGGUUGUAAACUGCUUUUGUACGGAGCGAAAAGGUCUGCCCUAAUACGGUGGGCUCAUGACGGUACCGUAAGAAUAAGCACCGGCUAACUACGUGCCAGCAGCCGCGGUAAUACGUAGGGUGCGAGCGUUAAUCGGAAUUACUGGGCGUAAAGCGUGCGCAGGCGGUUAUAUAAGACAGAUGUGAAAUCCCCGGGCUCAACCUGGGACCUGCAUUUGUGACUGCAUAGCGAGAGUACGGUAGAGGGGGAUGGAAUUCCGCGUGUAGCAGUGAAAUGCGUAGAUAUGCGGAGGAACACCGAUGGCGAAGGCAAUCCCCUGGACCUGUACUGACGCUCAUGCACGAAAGCGUGGGGAGCAAACA